GUGGGUAUAGCUUGGUGGUAAAGUGUGUGCUUAGCAAGCAGGAGGUCCUGGGUUCAAUUCCCAGUACUGCCA
rnacentral:tRNA from 1 species